rnacentral:rRNA from 1 species
GACGAACGCUGGCGGCGUGCUUAACACAUGCAAGUCGAACGGAAAGGCCCUGCUUUUGUGGGGUGCUCGAGUGGCGAACGGGUGAGUAACACGUGAGUAACCUGCCCUUGACUUUGGGAUAACUUCAGGAAACUGGGGCUAAUACCGGAUAGGAGCUCCUGCUGCAUGGUGGGGGUUGGAAAGUUUCGGCGGUUGGGGAUGGACUCGCGGCUUAUCAGCUUGUUGGUGGGGUAUUGGCUUACCAAGGCUUUGACGGGUAGCCGGCCUGAGAGGGUGACCGGCCACAAUGGGACUGAGAUACGGCCCAGACUGCUACGGGGGGCAGCAGUGGGGAAUAUUGCACAAUGGGCGGAAGCCUGAUGCAGCAACGCCGCGUGCGGGAUGACGGCCUUCGGGUUGUAAACCGCUUUCGCCUGUGACGAAGCGGGAGUGACGGUAAUGGGUAAAGAAGCACCGGCUAACUACGUG